rnacentral:tRNA from 1 species
CGGAGUGUAGCUCAGCCUGGUAGAGCACCGUGUUCGGGACGCGGGGGUCGGAGGUUCGAAUCCUCUCACUCCGACCA